UACGAAGGGGGCUAGCGUUGCUCGGAAUCACUGGGCGUAAAGCGCACGUAGGCGGAUUGCUAAGUCAGGGGUGAAAUCCUGGAGCUCAACUCCAGAACUGCCUUUGAUACUGGCAACCUUGAGUCCGGGAGAGGUGAGUGGAACUGCGAGUGUAGAGGUGAAAUUCGUAGAUAUUCGCAAGAACACCAGUGGCGAAGGCGGCUCACUGGCCCGGUACUGACGCUGAGGUGCGAAAGCGUGGGGAGCAACAGG
rnacentral:rRNA from 1 species